UACGAAGGGCGCAAGCGUUGUCCGGAUUUACUGGGCGUAAAGAGCUCGUAGGCGGCUUGCUACGUCUGCCGUGAAAACCAGCAGCUUAACUGUGGGCGUGCGGUCGAUACGGGCAUCACUGGAGUUCGGCAGGGGAGACUGGAAUUCCUGGUGUAGCGGUGAAAUGCGCAGAUAUCAGGAGGAACACCAGUGGCGAAGGCGGGUCUCUGGGCCGAUACUGACGCUGAGGAGCGAAAGCGUGGGGAGCAAACAGG
rnacentral:rRNA from 1 species